UUUGAAGUUUCAAAAGACAAUAGUAACCACAUAGCAUGGAGAAAAGUGCUGGGAAAGGCACCAGAGAGUGCAGAGUCCAGCUCAGGAUACACCGGAAUCUACCAUAUAUAGCAUAUCAAGAAGGCAGUCAGAAGUGAGUAAGGAUGUGGCCAUCAAAGAGUACUGAGUGUUAACAAUCAGACCAAAAGUAAAGGAACAGUGUAGUUCUACGGUUUUUGCCUAAAAAUCUGUAUAU
rnacentral:lncRNA from 1 species